UUUUGCCGGUUCUUAGAACUACUGGUGACCUUAACAACCGGUUCUAUAGAACCAGUGCGAACCGGUAGAAACCCACCCCUGGCUCUCAUCUCAGAAGUUUGU